rnacentral:tRNA from 1 species
GGCCCCGUGGCGGAAUUGGUAGACGCGACGGAUUCAAAAUCCGUUUCCUUAACCGGGUGUCCGUUCGAGGUCGGACCGGGGGCACCA